rnacentral:rRNA from 1 species
AGUGAACGCUGGCGGUAGGCCUAACACAUGCAAGUCGAACGGCAGCACAGGAGAGCUUGCUCUCUGGGUGGCGAGUGGCGGACGGGUGAGGAAUACAUCGGAAUCUACUCUGUCGUGGGGGAUAACGUAGGGAAACUUACGCUAAUACCGCAUACGACCUACGGGUGAAAGCAGGGGACCUUCGGGCCUUGCGCGAUUGAAUGAGCCGAUGUCGGAUUAGCUAGUUGGCGGGGUAAAGGCCCACCAAGGCGACGAGCCGUAGCUGGUCUGAGAGGAUGAUCAGCCACACUGGAACUGAGACACGGUCCAGACUCCUACGGGAGGCAGCAGUGGGGAAUAUUGGACAAUGGGCGCAAGCCUGAUCCAGCCAUACCGCGUGGGUGAAGAAGGCCUUCGGGUUGUAAAGCCCUUUGUUGGGAAAGAAAUCCAGCUGGCUAAUACCCGGUUGGGAUGACUGUACCUAAAGAAUAAGCACCGGCUAACUUCGUGCCAGCCGCCGCUGUAA